UAGAACAAUAGGGCAAUAUCAUAACUACUGAUAAACAAAGAACCCUAGAAGCAGGGGCUUGACAUUGGUUGCCAUGCCGAUUCAUGUGGCCUGUGUCUUAGAUCUUUUUAAAAAACUUUAUCUUAAUUUAGAUUCUGGAUGCAUUGGUCUUGUAGGUUAUCUUCACUUUUGGAGCUGAAGUUUUUUUUUUUUUUUGUCACAGCUGAAUUAAAACACAUUGAAGUCAUUUUUCCUUCUUCAAUUGAUCGUAAAUUAGAUAGCUGUGAGCUGCAUUAACCAAACAGGAAGCAUGGCACAAUGUGUAUCAGACAACAUGGUUGAUUGCGGUAACCUCACAGUUAUCACAUCAUCUAAGGGGAGCAUUAUCCUGUGGAAAGAAGUCACAGCCAUCAGGGAAUACAGCUUUCAUUAAAGGGUGUACAUGAUCUGCAGCAGUGCUUCGGUGUUCCCCUAGGUAAGAGAUGCACAUGGACCUGGUCAUCCACUUGAUGUUUCCCAGUGCUCUGUGGUCCAGUUUUGAUGCUCACUGUCAUGGUCCGGUUCCUGGACUCACUUUGACUUAAGCUUGAAGCUUAAGCUUCUCUCUUGGACUCAGGAUACCUUACCCCCAUCUUGGAUAUCACUCUGUGCCCUCCUCCCACCUCACACCAUCAGGAACCUCCAGAUCUCAGGUUAGCCAUUCCACACCGUUCAGCUCACUCUGGAUUCACGUCAACCAUCCCUCAUCGCUUACUGCAUCCACAUGCAAGUAAGAAAAGUUAUACAAUAUACUCACCAUCUACAGAGCUCC